UCACCUACGGGGCGCAGCAGUGAGGAAUAUUGGUCAAUGGGCGGGAGCCUGAACCAGCCAAGCCGCGUGAAGGAAGAAGGCGCCAGGCGUCGUAAACUUCUUUUGUCGGGGAACAAAGGGCGCCACGCGUGGCGUUGUGAGUGUACCCGAAGAAAAAGCAUCGGCUAACUCCGUGCCAGCAGCCGCGGUAAUACGGAGGAUGCGAGCGUUAUCCGGAUUUACUGGGUGUAAAGGGAGCGUAGACGGCUGCGCGAGUCAGAAGUGAAAGCCCGGGGCUCAACCGCGGGACUGCUUUUGAAACUGUG
rnacentral:rRNA from 1 species